rnacentral:rRNA from 1 species
GGGUUGUGAGGUUAAGCGACUAAGCGUACACGGUGGAUGCCCUGGCAGUCAGAGGCGAUGAAGGGCGUGCUAAUCUGCGAUAAGCGCCGGUAAGGUGAUAUGAACCGUUAUAACCGGCGAUACCCGAAUGGGGAAACCCAGUGUGACUCGUCACACUAUCAUUAACUGAAUCCAUAGGUUAAUGAGGCGAACCGGGGGAACUGAAACAUCUAAGUACCCCGAGGAAAAGAAAUCAACCGAGAUUCCCCCAGUAGCGGCGAGCGAACGGGGAGGAGCCCAGAGCCUGAAUCAGCAUGUGUGUUAGUGGAAGCGUCUGGAAAGUCGCGCGAUACAGGGUGACAGCCCCGUACACAAAAGCGCAUGUGCUGUGAGCUCGAUGAGUAGGGCGGGACACGUGGUAUCCUGUCUGAAUAUGGGGGGACCAUCCUCCAAGGCUAAAUACUCCUGACUGACCGAUAGUGAACCAGUACCGUGAGGGAAAGGCGAAAAGAACCCCGGCGAGGGGAGUGAAAAAGAACCUGAAACCGUGUACGUACAAGCAGUGGGAGCCCCACCACUAAGCCAGUGGUGAACUCCACAUACGCAUCCUUUGCUGAGGAUACGGUUAACGGAGCGAAAGCGACGUUCAACCUCAAAAGAAGCAGAGGGGGCUUAGUGGUGGGGUGACUGCGUACCUUUUGUAUAAUGGGUCAGCGACUUAUAUUCUGUAGCAAGGUUAACCGCAUAGGGGAGCCGGAGGGAAACCGAGUCUUAAUUGGGCGUUAAGUUGCAGGGUAUAGACCCGAAACCCGGUGAUCUAGCCAUGGGCAGGUUGAAGGUUGGGUAACACUAACUGGAGGACCGAACCGACUAAUGUUGAAAAAUUAGCGGAUGACUUGUGGCUGGGGGUGAAAGGCCAAUCAAACCGGGAGAUAGCUGGUUCUCCCCGAAAGCUAUUUAGGUAGCGCCUCGUGAACUCAUCUUCGGGGGUAGAGCACUGUUUCGGCUAGGGGGCCAUCCCGGCUUACCAACCCGAUGCAAACUGCGAAUACCGGAGAAUGUUAUCACGGGAGACACACGGCGGGUGCUAACGUCCGUCGUGAAGAGGGAAACAACCCAGACCGCCAGCUAAGGUCCCAAAGUCAUGGUUAAGUGGGAAACGAUGUGGGAAGGCCCAGACAGCCAGGAUGUUGGCUUAGAAGCAGCCAUCAUUUAAAGAAAGCGUAAUAGCUCACUGGUCGAGUCGGCCUGCGCGGAAGAUGUAACGGGGCUAAACCAUGCACCGAAGCUGCGGCAGCGACACUAUGUGUUGUUGGGUAGGGGAGCGUUCUGUAAGCCUGCGAAGGUGGCCUGUGAGGGUUGCUGGAGGUAUCAGAAGUGCGAAUGCUGACAUAAGUAACGAUAAAGCGGGUGAAAAGCCCGCUCGCCGGAAGACCAAGGGUUCCUGUCCAACGUUAAUCGGGGCAGGGUGAGUCGACCCCUAAGGCGAGGCCGAAAGGCGUAGUCGAUGGGAAACGGGUUAAUAUUCCCGUACUUGGUGUUACUGCGAAGGGGGGACGGAGAAGGCUAUGUUGGCCGGGCGACGGUUGUCCCGGUUUAAGCGUGUAGGUGUGUGUUCCAGGUAAAUCCGGUUCACUUUAACACUGAGGCGUGACGACGAGGCACUACGGUGCUGAAGCAACAAAUGCCCUGCUUCCAGGAAAAGCCUCUAAGCAUCAGGUAACAUCAAAUCGUACCCCAAACCGACACAGGUGGUC